AUGUCUUUGUCUUCUGUUUAUUCAAGUGUAUUCCAUUUGCUUUCGGGAAUAUUUGGAUGUUUUAGAACUAACAUUCUGCUUUAAUAAUCCAAACACACUAUAAUUCCAUCAAUUUGAGUCUCUUAAAAUGUUACACUGAAAUGAAUCUCUCUGAAGAUGGACUUAUUGAUUUCUAUAUUCUUCCUCUAGCAUCAUGAAAUUUGACCUCUUCAGCCGUGCAUGGUUAACACUCCAUCUAUCUGAGUAAGUCCUGCCUUGAAGAAUCGUGAGUGCAAACCAGUUUGAGAGAGAAGAGGAAAAAUAAAUGAGUCGUGCUCUGUCUUCCAGGCUGGAAUGCAGUGGUAUGAUCACAACUCACAACUUACUGCAUCCUCUACCUCCUGAGCUCAAGGGGAAUCCUUCCACUUCAGCCUCCAAGGUGGCUGGGACCAUAGAUACACUCCACUACUCAAAGUUUAGCAACCACUCAAGGAAAUUUAAAACACUAAAUUUCUGGACUUGCCAGACUAAGGGCCAGACUCUGGACCUCACCAAAUUCAUCAAGAAAUUUCAGGAAUCACGAGAAAAAAAAAAAAAGUGCGGUGUAAAGAUCGCUACCAAAAGAUCAAGAUACACUACAAUAUAAGGAAAGUUGGAUGCAACUACAUAUGUCUUGCAUGAUCAGAAAAAUAUGAUAUAUUAAAAGAAUAUUCUUUCUGAAGAUUCACUCUCUGAAAAAAAAAGUUCUAAAAGGGCUUAUACAGAGCGAUUUAAAUACAAAAAUUUGAAUCAAUCAGCACUACAUCUCUGAAGUCAUGAAGAACAUCAGUGCCCAGGAAGAGAACUGCCAUGAGGGUGGGGUCACUUCAGACAGUCCCCACUGAGUCAAUGCCCAGUGGAGCCAUAGGGUUGGUUCUACCCUCAAGACCUUAGACUGGUAGAGCAACCAGAGUUCUAUUCCAGCACAGAAGAGCUCUGGUGUGGGCCGCACCCAGCAAAACCAAGCAGGGAUGCCUGGAGCCCUGGAGCCCAUUUGCCCAGUAAAGCUGAGAAGAUGGAGCCUCUACCCCACUGUGUCCACAAGGAGACCUCUGCCCCAGUGGGCCUCAAGGGCAGACAACUGAGUCAAAGAAGAUUCUUCCACAACAUUUAUGUUUUGGACUUGUUCAGGACCUAUCAUUUAUUUCUUCUUUCCUAUUUCUUUAUUUUCCAGUGGGAAUGUCUUUCCUUGCCUGUCCCACCAUUAUAUUUUGGAAGCACAUAAUUUGUUUUAUUUCACUGGUUCACAACUGGACAAAAAUUUGCCUCAGAAUGAAUUGUAUCUUGAGUCUCAUCCAUAUCUGAUUUAGAUAAUAUUUAGAUGAGAUGUGAACUUUAGACUUCUAAGUUGAUAUUAGAACAAGUUAAUACUUUUGGGGUAAUUGAAAUGAAUGCAUUUUACAUUUGAGAAGGACAUGCCUUUUUGGGGGAUGGGGCAGAA
ensembl:lncRNA novel transcript, antisense to PPFIA2